CCUACGGGAGUCAGCAGUGAGGAAUAUUGGUCAAUGGACGAGAGUCUGAACCAGCCAAGUAGCGUGAAGGAUGACUGCCCUAUGGGUUGUAAACUUCUUUUAUAUGGGAAUAAAACGUUCCACGUGUGGGAUUUUGUAUGUACCAUAUGAAUAAGUAUCGGCUAACUCCGUGCCAGCAGCCGCGGUAAUACGGAGGAUCCGAGCGUUAUCCGGAUUUAUUGGGUUUAAAGGGAGCGUAGGUGGAUUGUUAAGUCAGUUGUGAAAGUUUGCGGCUCAACCGUAAAAUUGCAGUUGAAACUGGCAGUCUUGAGUACAGUAGAGGUAGGCGGAAUUCGUGGUGUAGCGGUGAAAUGCUUAGAUAUCACGAAGAACUCCGAUUGCGAAGGCAGUUCACUGGACUGCAACUGACACUGAGGCUCGAAAGUGUGGGUAUCAAACAGGAUUAGAUACCCGAGUAGUC
rnacentral:rRNA from 1 species